UAACUAGAACUAGAAGAUCUGUAGCUGCACUUUUAGUUUCACUGUGUUGCUCUGCUCUAGACUGCUAUCAUCUCUUUUUAUAAGGAGCAGCAUUCAAUGGUCAGAAGCACGAGGAAGAAAAGAAUGAAGCUAUUCUUAUCUGCCAUCUUGUCGUUUAUCGUCCACAUUUUUGUGGUUUCAGCCAUGGACGAAUUUACUCCUGAUGAGAACCACUGCCUGAUGAACGAUGAUAAAAUGACAGCUAUCAUUUGUGUCAGUAGCUCUGGUGACAUGGUACAGGAAAGCAGCAAUCAUUGUCUGCAAGAUACAAACUCCUGCUAUUCAUCACUGGAUUGUGCUAUGGAGGAAGCACAGCAAGAGCCAAAGAAUACUACCAUCAUAUGUCUCAACCCUGGUAAUUACAUGCUGAAUGUAAAUGUUACAUUUGAGAAUUUCAAUAGUGGAAUUUCUAUUAUUGGUAACAGUA